UAUAUAUAUAUAUAUAUAUGUUUUUAUGUGUGUAAAAUUAAGUAGGAUAAAGGAAUUUGGCAAGAGUAAAUUUCGCUUGUUUAUCAAAAACAUGUUUCUUUGAGUUUUUUUAAUGACGAGUUGGGCCUGCUUGGUGAUUAAUAUUUAACAGUUGCGGUAUUAUAACUGUACUAAGGUAGCAUAAAA